GAUGAACGCUGGCGGCGUGCCUAAUACAUGCAAGUCGAGCGAACAGACGAGGAGCUUGCUCCUCUGACGUUAGCGGCGGACGGGUGAUUAACACGUGGAUAACCUACCUAUAAGACUGGUAUAACUUCGGGAAACCGGAGCUAAUACCGGAUAAUAUAUUGAACCUCAUGGUUCAAUAGUGAAAGACGGUUUUGCUAUCACGUAUAGAUGGAUCCGCGCCGCAUUAGCUAGUUGGUAAGGUAACGGGUUACCAAGGCAACGAUGCGUAGCCGACCUGAGAGGGUGAUCGGCCACCCGGGAACUGAGAAACGGUCCAGACUCCUACAGGAGGCAGCAGUCGGGACUCUUACGCAAUGGGCGAAAGCCUGAUGGAGCAAAGCCGCGUGAGUGAUGACGGUCUUCGGAUCGUAAAAUUAUGUUAUUCGGAAAGAACAAAUGUGUAAGUAACUAUGCCCGUAUUGACGGUACCUAAUCAGAAAGCCACGGCUAACUACGUG
rnacentral:rRNA from 1 species